CACGUAGGGUGCAAGCGUUGUCCGGAAUUACUGGGCGUAAAGGGCUCGUAGGCGGCCAACUAAGUCAGACGUGAAAUCCCUCGGCUUAACCGGGGAACUGCGUCUGAUACUGGAUGGCUUGAAUCCGGGAGAGGGAUGCGGAAUUCCAGGUGUAGCGGUGAAAUGCGUAGAUAUCUGGAGGAACACCGGUGGCGAAGGCGGCAUCCUGGACCGGCAUUGACGCUGAGGAGCGAAAGCCAGGGGAGCAAACGGG
rnacentral:rRNA from 1 species